AAACGUAAAAAAAUGUUCGAAAGCUCUCCGCACUACGGUCGUCGAUUGCGCCAGCAGUCUUUUAGUUCUGCCUCUGCUGGUCGUAUUUUCACAUACGUUACAGACUGGAAAAUUCCAUUGCUGUAUACUAUCUUCGAGUGUUAAAAUACUUAUGUGAAAUUAUUUUGGAAAAUUGCAAUUUUAGGCAAUUCAGGCAGCGAAAAUGUGGUGAAAUCGAAAGCGAAGUAUGUGGUGAUAUCAAUAUAUACGUUUGAUAACGAAGCGUAAACAUUUUACUCGUUAUAAAAAAAGUUGUUAAUAAAAACAUCAUCUACUGUUAUCAAAAUAGACGGUGUUACUCAUCGAUUAAACCAAUGCAAUAUUUUGUGUAAUGUGGAACAUUUUUUACAAGUUCCCAAUAAGGAAUUAAAACUGCUUUCCGUUUCUUCUCACGAGAUCAUACAUCGCGAAUAUAAAAGCUCCAACGAAGGAUCGCUUCGAGCAAAAAUGAAUCUAUCCGAGUGGCUGCGUGGGCGCCUUCCCGCAGAUUGGCCUGUGAAUAUCGCAAAUCUGGUCAUCGAACAAGGAGCACACCACUAAUGAAACAAUUCCAGAAUGAUUGGAAUGACACUUUAAAUAGUAUUACUUUCCAGUUCAGUUAUCGAACAGGGGGCACAUCAUCGAUGAACCACUUCAAGGAUUGUCAAGAGGAGAUCUCCUAGGAAAUCCGAGGUUCCUUGGAUAUUCCGUAAUACGAGAGAAGGAACUAAACUUACCCUGCCACAAACGAGUGAGUGUUUUUAUACUUUGAGAUAGUAAUAUUAUUAAAGGAGACGAAAGUACCAAAAUGUAUUCAAGGUGUUCGAUGUCAUCAGUAAGUAGUUAUUUGUAGUUAGAAAUUAUGAAAGGACUUUCUUGCCGCAAUGUGAUAAAAACAUUAUUUUUAUUUCUUGAGAUAGUAUUAGUUUUUAUAUUAUUAAAGGUGCCGAAGGUACUAAAUUGUAUUAAGGGUGUUCUAUGACAUCAUUAAGUAGAUAUUUGUAAUUAAAAAUUACGGAGGAUGUACUUUCAUGCUAAUUAAGUUUCGGGAAUUUGAAACUUUGUUUUAAAAAAACGUUUAUUAAAAACUAGAGAUUACAAUCGACUUCCUUAUUAGAAGGAUGAAAAGUAACUUACUCUAAAAACUAUUCUUUCUUUUCUCUACACAUAAAAAAUGAAAAUACAUAAUACAUAUAUAAAAAAAAUGAUGAGGCAUU